UACGUGGAGGGGCAAGCGUUGUCCGGAUUUAUUGGGCGUAAAGAGCGUGUAGGCGGCAUGUAGGUCCGUUGUGAAAACUCGAGGCUCAACCUCGAGACGCCGAUGGAAACCAUGUGGCUAGAGUCCGGAAGAGGAGAGUGGAAUUCCUGGUGUAGCGGUGAAAUGCGCAGAUAUCAGGAAGAACACCCGUGGCUAAGGCGGCUCUCUAGUACGGUACUGACGCUGAGACGCGAAAGCGUGGGGAGCGAACAGGAUUAGA
rnacentral:rRNA from 1 species